AUGUCUCUGCUACAGGUUAUGUUUUCUGUUGCUGCUGUUAUUAAAGUUUUCAGAAAUAGACGGCAGUGUAAACAUGAAGCUACCAAGUCACUGGUGUGCAGCCAUGGCCCUGUUUGCUCCUCAUCCCUGCUGCUGAUUGUGCCUGAAUAUGUCCUAUCCCAGGUUACCCUGAAGGAGUCUGGCCCUGGAGUGUUCCCUCCUUCCCAGGACCUCAGUCUGACCUGCUCUUUCUCUGGGUUUUCACUGAGCACUUCUGGUGUGGGUGUGGGCUGGAUCCGCCAGCCCUCAGGGAAGGGUCUGGAGUGGCUGUCACACGUUUGGUGGAAUGAUGAUAAAUACUACAACCCAUCGCUGAAGAGCCGCCUCACAAUCUCCAAGGACACCUCCAACAACCGGGUAACCCUCAAGAUCUUCAGUGUGGACACUGAAGACACUGCCACAUACUACUGUGCUCGAGUAUUGAGUACCACAGAGACACAGCCUCAUUUGAUAACUGAACAAAAUUUCAGGAAGCUUCUCAUCUCUUUCCCUUCCUAA